UGGGGCCCGCCAGCUCCCUGGCAGAGGCCAGUCUCCACAAUCCUUCAUCGACAGCAGGGCUGAGGCUGCUUCUCUCCAGCUGGCUGAGCUGUGCUUUCCUGCAGGGAACUGGCAACCAGGGAGGGAGGGGCCUGCGGUGUCCCCUCUCCCACGGUCCUGGGAUGCAGGAUGCCACUGUGGCAGAUCAAAUGGCCCGACUAACCCUGAAACUCUUGGAGAAGAAACUGGAGCAGGAGCGUGAGGAUGUGGAAGGGGAUUCCGAGGACCCCCACCUGGUGCCAGGACAUGAGGACAGGCCUGAGGCAGCCCUGCAGAGCGCCCUGAGGAGGAGGAAGGACCUUCGGCAGAGACUCUGGGU